GAUGAAGAACGUAGCGAAAUGCGAUAAGUAAUGUGAAUUGCAGAAUUCAGUGAAUCAUCGAAUCUUUGAACGCACAUUGCGCCCGCCAGUAUUCUGGCGGGCAUGCCUGUUCGAGCGUCAUUACAACCCUCAGGCCCCCGGGCCUGGCGUUGGGGAUCGGCGGAGCCCCCCGUGGGCACACGCCGUCCCCCAAAUACAGUGGCGGUCCCGCCGCAGCUUCCAUCGCGUAGUAGCUAACACCUCGCGACUGGAGAGCGGCGCGGCCACGCCGUAAAACACACAACUCUUCUGAAGUUGACCUCGAAUCAGGUAGGAAUACCCGCUGAACUUAAGCAUAUCAAUAAGCGGAGGA
rnacentral:misc_RNA from 1 species